UUUUACCACUCACUCGUUAAGCAACGAGAUCCGGUAACAGGAACCGAAACAAACAAGAAUAUUAGCUCAAAGGAUUUCUAUUCGUUUCGGUUGAUGAUUAGACGUGGUCAGGAUAAUAUCAUUCUACGAUGUCGUGAGCUUUGCCAACAAUUUAUGGUCGAUAUGUACGUCAAGAUAGAGAGUGAACGACUACGAUACCCUCGAUUUAACCAACAGAAGCUGCGUGCGGAAGAAUACAUUCACUUGCGAGAUGCUAUUGCCAGCAACGCUGAUACUGCCGAAAUCGGUAACUCUGUCAUCCUACCAUCAUCGUACAUAGGUAGUCCACGUCAUAUGCAAGAAUACAUACAGGAUGCUAUGACCUUCGUACGUGAAUAUGGACGACCUUGCUUUUUUAUUACUUUUACAUGUAAUCCAAAAUGGCAGGAAAUUACAUCGUUAUUACCUGGACAAAGUGCAAUACAUCGUCAUGACAGUGCAUGAUAACAUGCGCGUUCAAACGCUUCAGGAUCCAUCCGCCGAAACUUUUUCGAAACAGCUAUUAGAUAUUGGCAAUGGGAAAGUUGCCGUACAUGAAAAUACUGGAUCAAUAAAAUUACCAACCGGUUUUUGCACAAUCGUCCACUCGCAAGAUGUUCUCAUCGACUGUAUAUUUCCCGAUGUACACACACAAUAUAUAAAUCUUGAGUGGCUGACAGAAAGAGCCAUUUUAGCAGCGAAAAAUGUGGACGUUCAUGGAUUAAAUUUCAAGAUACAACAAUUGUUGCCAACAGACUCUGUGUCAUACAAAUCUGUUGAUACAGUUUGCAAUACUAUCGAAGCUGUAAAUUACCAAGUAGAAUUUUUGAAUUCCUUGGAUUUGCCAGGCAUGCCACCGCACCACUUACAAUUGAAAGUAGGAUCUCCGGUGAUUUUGCUCCGUAACUUGAACCCACCACGGCUGUGCAAAGGCACACGAUUGGUUAUUAAAAAAUUAAUGAAGAACGUGAUUGAGGCCACCAUUUUAAAUGGCAAGUUUCAAGCUAAAAGGUAACACGAAAUUCUUUGACUGUUAGGCGUUACGAAGUUCGCCGGGUUUGCUAGUAGAUUUAUAUAAAUUAUUGUAUAUAUGGGUGUACCUGCUGCCUGCCUGGACUCACGCAACGCGUCAGUUCAGCAAUCUGCCAAUCCCAGCGGGAGGCGGCAUCACUUGCCAGUUGCCCAAUUGCAUUUGAAAUUCGCUUUCACUGAGUACUGAGGAGGCUGAGAUUUUGUUUUUUUUUUUGUUUGAUUUUCAAUUCAUUUUCAACUGGAGAUAAAACCCGAUGCUAUGCUCCUGCUGCCGAUCUGGAAAUUAGUUUUCACACAGUCUAGAGUUCACACAUUUAUAACAUUUUAAUUAACUGAGAAAAUGCAGGAGCGGAUUCUGAGGUUAAUUAAAGAUUGCUGGAAAAUAUAUGUAUUUUUGAAACUUCUCUUUACAUUUUACAUACUUCCGUAAUGUCUUUGAUUAAAUCCAUCAAUUUCUAUGGCCCCAUGAGUUGUCGGA